UUUCAACGGAGAGUUUGAUCCUGGCUCAGGACGAACGCUGGCGGCGUGCUUAACACAUGCAAGUCGAGCGGUAAGGCCCCUUCGGGGGUACACGA
rnacentral:rRNA from 1 species